AUUUGUUGACUUUUCAGAAUUGUGAAGUGGAGGAUUAAGUGGGAUCAUGUUUAUAAAACAGCUAGCACACGCCUUGCCCGUAUUAAUUUGUAUCUAAUAGAUUCUCCAUAACUUUCACUUUAAAGGGGUGAAAAGAUUUUUAAGGAAGCUCCGGAAUCAAGAUUUUUACAGUGGGCCAGUUUUCAAAGUGAGAUAGUUUGUAUAAGGAAAACCUUUAACUUUCUAAAGGGAUUUUUCCCAUGCAAAAGUUUUUUGUUUUAAAAAAUGUUAAGGAACUCGAGGCCACAGCUGAUGGAGGUGUGGAGAGAGUGAAUUCUGGUCUCAACUGGAUCUCAGCUGGAUACAAACAAGCUCCGGGAUCUUGGGAAACUGGAAUGACUUUCCUGGGACUUGGUUUACCCCUCCCCCUUGCCCAGCUUUCCUCCUCUUCCCUGAGGGGCUUCACAAAAGCCAGGGAAACGAAACAAAACAAGGAUACAAGGGUUUUUGAAGUCAUUGUGGCCUGAAUUUGAAUCUCAUCUCUGUCUUAUUUGACUUGGAUAACCUUGGGCAAGUGACUUGGGCACUGUGGGCAUUCGCUUCGCUGCCUUAAGCUGAUGGGAAUUACGAUGCGUGGAGGCCAUGGAGCAUUCCAGGAGACUCUGGAAGCAAAACAUCUAGUGCAGACAUUUAUGAAGCAAUAUGCUACCGGCUGCAGUGGGAAAUUUAGCUGCAUUAAUCAUAAGAAAGGAUUCCAUGUCUGGCUCUAAAGCCCAUGUUGUUUCCACGACACCUGCUUCAAACAGAUGAGGAAACGGAGACUUAAAGUGGCAAAGUGGUAAAGGGACCUACCAAAGAUGACUCAGCCAGUGAACAGCGACGCUUACACUUCACUCCAGGGAGCCUGACCCCUGCCUGUGUGCUCAGCACCAAUUUGACCCAGGCUGUCACCCUCCUUCGACUGGUCCAUGAGCUCUUUGAGGGAUGGACUGUGACUGUCUUUGAAUGAGCUAGAUAAUUCAAUGCAUGGAUUGAAUAAUUUAUUUAUUAAUGGCUUUAGAUUUUAAUAAAUCAUAGGCACAGUGCCAGGCAUGGAAUGCAGUCCAUAAAGGAAUGUUGGGAUGCAACUAAUGUGAAAUGAAUUUCAUUUGAGAAUUUAUUUUCAGUGUAUGCUUUGCUUGUCCCUGCAAAUAUACCAGGUAGAGGUAAUCCUAAUUAUUUAAGCAUAAAUACAGCAGUCUUUCGGAAUAAACCGCCAUUUUCUGCAGCUUAAACCUAAUGUAUGUAGCUUUUAAAACACAAUCAUG
rnacentral:lncRNA from 10 species